GGGCGUAGAGGGCUCGCAGGCGGUUUCUUAAGUCUGAUGUGAAAGCCCCCGGCUCAACCGGGGAGGGUCAUUGGAAACUGGGAAACUUGAGUGCAGAAGAGGAGAGUGGAAUUCCACGUGUAGCGGUGAAAUGCGUAGAGAUGUGGAGGAACACCAGUGGCGAAGGCGACUCUCUGGUCUGUAACUGACGCUGAGGAGCGAAAGCGUGGGGAGCGAACAGGAUUAGAUACCCUGGUAGUCCACGCCGUAAACGAUGAGUGCUAAGUGUUAGGGGGUUUCCGCCCCUUAGUGCUGCAGCUAACGCAUUAAGCACUCCGCCUGGGGAGUACGGUCGCAAGACUGAAACUCAAAGGAAUUGACGGGGGCCCGCACAAGCGGUGGAGCAUGUGGUUUAAUUCGAAGCAACGCGAAGAACCUUACCAGGUCUUGACAUCCUCUGACAACCCUAGAGAUAGGGCUUUCCCUUCGGGGACAGAGUGACAGGUGGUGCAUGGUUGUCGUCAGCUCGUGUCGUGAGAUGUUGAGUUAAGUCCCGCAACGAGCGCAACCCUUGAUCUUAGUUGCCAGCAUUCAGUUGGGCACUCUAAGGUGACUGCCGGUGACAAACCGGAGGAAGGUGGGGAUGACGUCAAAUCAUCAUGCCCCUUAUGACCUGGGCUACACACGUGCUACAAUGGACAGA
rnacentral:rRNA from 1 species